rnacentral:rRNA from 1 species
AGAGUUUGAUCCUGGCUGAGAAUGAACGCUGGCGGCAUGCCUAACACAUGCAAGUCGAACGAGAUCUUCGGAUCUAGUGGCGCACGGGUGAGUAACGCGUGGGAACCUACCUUUUAGUACGGGACAACGUUUGGAAACGAACGCUAAUACCGUAUACGCCCUCCGGGGGAAAGGUCAGCCGCUAAAAGAGGGGCCCGCGUCUGAUUAGCUUGUUGGUAAGGUAAUGGCUUACCAAGGCUACGAUCAGUAGCUGGUCUGAGAGGAUGAUCAGCCACACUGGGACUGAGACACGGCCCAGACUCCUACGGGAGGCAGCAGUGGGGAGUAUUGGACAAUGGAGGCAACUCUGAUCCAGCAAUGCCGCGUGUGUGAUGAAGGCCCUAGGGUUGUAAAGCACUUUCAACGGUGAAGAUGAUGACGGUAGCCGUAGAAGAAGCCCCGGCUAACUUCGUGCCAGCAGCCGCGGUAAUACGAAGGGGGCGAGCGUUAUUCGGAAUUAUUGGGCGUAAAGGGCUCGCAGGCUGCUUGAACAGUUAGACGUGAAAUCCCCGGGCUCAACCUGGGAACUGCGUUUAAUACUAGCAAGCUAGAGAAAUAGAGAGGAAAGUGGAACUCCCAGUGUAGAGGUGAAAUUCGUAGAUAUUGGGAAGAACACCAGUGGCGAAAGCGACUUUCUGGC